ACGCAAGGGCACUCUAAUGAGACUGCCGGUGACAAACCGGAGGAAGGUGGGGAUGACGUCAAGUCCUCAUGGCCCUUAUGGUAGGGCUUCACACGUCAUACAAUGGUCGGUACAGAGGGUUGCCAAGCCGCGAGGCGGAGCCAAUCCCACAAAGCCGAUCGUAGUCCGGAUUGUUCUCUGCAACUCGAGAGCAUGAAGUCGGAAUCGCUAGUAAUCGCAGGUCAGCAUACUGCGGUGAAUACGUUCCCGGGUCUU
rnacentral:rRNA from 1 species